AAUGAACGCUGGCGGCGUGCCUAACACAUGCAAGUCGAACGAGAAAGCGGGCUUCGGUCCGUGAGUACAGUGGCAGACGGGUGAGGAACACGUGGGUAACCUGCCCGGAGGUGGGGGAUAACCUUUCGAAAGGAAGGCUAAUACCGCAUAACAUCUCGAGGCCCUCGGGCUUCGAGAUCAAAGCUUGCCUCUUCUUGAAAGCAAGCGCCACCGGAGGGGCCCGCGCCCCCAUUAGCUUGAUGGUGAGGUAACGGCUCACCAUGGCUACGAUGGGUAGCCGGCCUGAGAGGGUGAUCGGCCACACUGGAACUGAGACACGGUCCAGACUCCUACGGGAGGCAGCAGUGAGGAAUUUUGCGCAAUGGGCGAAAGCCUGACGCAGCGACGCCGCGUGGAGGACGAAGGCCUUCGGGUCGUAAACUCCUGUCGAGCGGGACGAAUCCCCGCCGGAUGAAUAAGCCGGCGGGUUGACGGUACCGCUUGAGGAAGCCCCGGCUAACUCCGUG
rnacentral:rRNA from 1 species